GCCGGGGCUGCGCGGGGCCGGCCUGUCUUCCGCCGGGUCGCGGCGGGGUGGAGGAGGACCUGUAUGUGCGGGGUACAUGGAGAAGAUGUCGUCGCUCCACAGCCCGGAUGGGUAAUGAGAGAAACCAGGAGCUUUUUCAGCAAUAAUCAAACAGGGAGCAUGCCUAGUCAGGUCUGUCACAGACUCUUGGAAGCUGAAAAUUUACUGUUGGCAGCAGACAAGAAGCAGCUGCAGUAGCUGUGUUUCUCACAUAGUACCAAGCUGAUGCGCCUCUCUUCUACCCGGGAAAGGCUGCUCUGAAGAAGAAGGAUAUUUUGGAGUUUCUAUCAAUCAGGUUGUAGCGAUGCAAGUGGAGAUGCAGUUAAUAAUCCAUCGAGAACUGCCGCUUGUUUCCUACGAGCCCCCAAAGAGCUGGGAAGCGUGGCUUUGUCCUGGUGACCUGGGCUGCAUACAAGUCACCUUCUCCACGUGAAAAUCACUGCUCGUCCCUUGGGCCAUCUCACUGCUGAUGCUUCCAAGCUCCAGCUCAUUGUCUUCUCCCUUCUGUUGUCUUAGGGGAUAGAAGGAAGUGUGGUGAGACAUAGAUUAUUCUUUAAGUGCCCAGAAAGUUUAAUUAAUCAGUCCAGUACCUGUAAUUGAUGAGAAUCCUAUUAUUUAAGCGGAUGGGGAUCGGAGGAUUUCAGGUCAUAGAGAACUUAAUACAAAGUAGGAGUGCUUGAUGGUCACUAUAUUUCUUUCCCUUACUGGAAGGAGGAAGAAAUUUUGCUCAAAUGCAUAUAAUUGAGCAAAUUCUUAGAAAGAAUAUGCGGCAGUAUGCUGUUAUAAGUAAUGUGUGGCUUUUGUAUAUCACCGUCUGUCAUUAAUUUUUAAAUUGCUUUAUAAAAUUGGGAAACGGAGGCACAAGAGAGGUGAUACAACUUGUGCAGGGUUGCUCACUAGGUCACCAUCAGAUGAAGAAUAGUGCAGGUCUUGUUUCAUCUCUGCUGGCUGUAACAGGAAAGCUAACGGUGAGCUGCUGUUAACACAUGUAGAGCUAAGGUAUCAGCCUAAUAUGACCAAGCUACAAAAAUUCAGUGAUUUACUGCUUGAAGCUGUUACAAUUAGGUGAGUUCUUAGCUUGCCUCAACUGCAAAAUAAAAUGGAUUAUUACAGACUACUUCUACCUUGUGGUUUUUUACACUGUUGAGCCUUGCCUCCUUAGGAAACAAUGAAACAUUGGUGCUGUCAACAAGUUUCUCUGUUCUUUUACUUUCUGAACAGUCAAAAAGUGCUCUGUAAUUUUGGGCCUCCUUAGCUGAUGACUCAGUCAGAGACCAAGGAUGUUGGUAAUGAGAACUAAGAAAGUGAUUAACAUCUGGCAGGCAACUAAGGCUAGAAAAAACGCUGGCAUUUUCACAACGAAUCCAUUUAUUUUAAAUGAAUUUACUGAGAAAAGCUCACCUGCAGGACAUUUAGCCACAUUUCUGUAUUAAGUAAGCCUAAACCAUGUUGUCUUUAUCUUCAUUUUUUUAGUAUAUAACUGGAACACUCUUGACAUUUUGUUCAUCAGACAUAAAAAAAUGCUGUCAAGUCUCAGCCUCCUUUGGGUGAGCUCUCUGGCUUAGGCUAGAAGGCUGCGUGCAGUCAUUCUGAGUCCAGAUAACCUUAAUUUAGUCUUAUGGAAAGAUCCAUUCUGCUCCUGCGACCGCUUAGGGCUCUACAGCAGGGGAGUGAUUUUUGUGUGAUGGGGGACUUGACUCAAGAAGACCCCGCCGACCAGAGCCUGCUGGGCUCUGGGAUAGCUCUGGUGCAUCUGACCUUGUUUCAGGUUGCUUAUGCUUUUCAUGACCCAUUAUUUAUGUGUUUGGGUUUAUUUGGGGUUUUUUUCUUUGUCCGUGGUAUCUCAGCCCUCCCAUUUUUAUGGGUAAUGGAGAAUUGAUCGUAGGUUAGUCUGAAGUAAACGGCAAUGUUGCUGCUGUAACUACAAGCAGAAUGUGGCCUUCGGACUUUCUGGACCUCUUUCGCAUAUUUCCAAGUCUGGGUCUUUGUCCUUAAUAAAAAUAAUUAUUCUUGGAAAUCAUCUUACGACAUCUGUGGAGAUGCAGUAAUCAGAGUUUCAGACACUUCAUACAUAACUGGCUCAUUUUUUACAUCUCUUUUCUGUUCUGUGUGCCGAAGGAAGUG